UGGGGGUUACAGGAAUCUCCCGAGGCUGUUACUUAUUGCUGCUCUAGCGCAUAGACAAGCUCAUCAAAUCUGCCUGUCACGUGCAGCACAAGCUAUUCAGAAGCGCCUGUGUGUUAAAUCGCCGGCUUCAUGGGUUAGAAGAAAUACAGGCUAACUCGACUAAACGCCUGGUUCCAGAGUAACUUUCUGGCAUGCGAAACAAUGGCCAAAAUCGAAAACUCCAGGCUCUGCUGCUACAACUGGCUCCUUGGGGAUGGAACCUGCUUGGCUCACAAUUAUUAUUAUACCUUGCAACAGCCGAAAGAGCUUCUCACAGAAUAGGAAUGUUGCAUUUCUACUUGCCAUAAUUAUCAAUUUAAGCUAACUGUCUGAACACUACAUGGUGCAUAUGCUCCGUGCUUUAUUGAGGAUGCUCAACAUAAGGCCGCUAAACAUAUGUUAACUUGACUACCGAAGUCUACAAUAAGGUAUACAUGUAACAUUGUGAACAGUAAACUGGUCAGAUUCACACUGGCCAAAUUAACAUGAACAGAACUGGGCCAUGCCUCAUACAUUUGAUUUUGCCUUGCAGAAGAGAACUAUUUCAGCUUUUCCCUGCAUUGAAUCAUGCCAUUGUACAGCGACCUGAGCAGCAAACUUAAAGAUGUACAGUCCAGACUGCCAUGACUGCAGUCACAUGGCAAAAGCAUACCUUGCAGUGUGUAGUACUGACAGGAAGUCCAACAUUGGAAGCUACCACAACUGUGAACGCCGAAGCCAACUCAAUAGUGAAUCCACUGCAGGAAGCAUAAGAAAACACUUCACAGUCACUCUUUGUAUCAGUUUGGACUGACACCAUGCAGUGUGCCAAAGUCUUACCAGUAUCUUCUUCAACUGUUUACCUCCAGCUGAUUUGGUCAUAGAAUUACAUUAGGAGAACAAUGGACUACUGAAUAAUGGAAACAAUACACACUAGUUAUCUGCAUUAAACUAGUUGCUCAGCUCACUGCUUCAGGCUGUUUUACUACUCUACAGUCCAGUGAAUCAUGCUUAAUUAGUCAUUAGGUUAGUGGCAGCAGAGGUCUAGUAUGCAUUUAAAGCAAAAAUAAGAGUCAGAUUCAUAUUUUUAAUGUUAUGAAGCACAUGGGGAAAGCUAAUUUUUGUCAUUUCCAAAUGUCAUAGUUUCACAUGCUAAUUAGGACAGCAGUAGAAUACUUUUGUCAACUAGACCUCUACAAUUCAAACUCAUACCACAUUCAUUUACAGGGAUUUUUUUAACAAAGUAGGAGGUCAAACAAGUUACCAUUAGAAUCAAAUCGAAAGCAAACCCAGCAGUCUACACAAUUAAAAGCAAAACUACAGCAGCAAUUUCUCAAACUAGAUCCUAUUAGAAAUUCAGGCAAUCAAAUUAGUAAUCCUGUACAUACCUCGAAG